rnacentral:rRNA from 1 species
GCCUGCGGCCACACCGGACUGACUGCACCCAAUCCCGUCCGAUCUCGGAAGCUAAGCAGUCCCUGGCCCUGCUAGUACCUGGAUAGGAGACCGCCUGGGAAUCCUGGGUGCCGUAGGCC